rnacentral:rRNA from 1 species
GUGCCAGCAGCCGCGGUAAUACGGAGGGUGCGAGCGUUGUCCGGAAUCACUGGGCGUAAAGGGCGCGUAGGUGGCCCGUUAAGUGGCUGGUGAAAUCCCGCGGCUCAACUGCGGGGCUGCCGGUCAUACUGGCGAGCUAGAGCACGGUAGGGGCAGAUGGAAUUCCCGGUGUAGCGGUGGAAUGCGUAGAGAUCGGGAAGAAUACCAGUGGCGAAGGCGUUCUGCUGGGCCGUUGCUGACACUGAGGCGCGACAGCGUGGGGAGCAAACAGGAUUAGAUACCCUCGUAGUCC